rnacentral:rRNA from 1 species
GAUCAUUAUAGAGUUUUCUAAACUCCCAACCCAUGUGAACUUACCUUUUGUUGCCUCGGCAGAAGUUAUAGGUCUUCUUAUAGCUGCUGCCGGUGGACCAUUAAACUCUUGUUAUUUUAUGUAAUCUGAGCGUCUUAUUUUAAUAAGUCAAAACUUUCAACAACGGAUCUCUUGGUUCUGGCAUCGAUGAAGAACGCAGCGAAAUGCGAUAAGUAAUGUGAAUUGCAGAAUUCAGUGAAUCAUCGAAUCUUUGAACGCACAUUGCGCCCAUUAGUAUUCUAGUGGGCAUGCCUGUUCGAGCGUCAUUUCAACCCUUAAGCCUAGCUUAGUGUUGGGAAUCUACUUCUCUUAGGAGUUGUAGUUCCUGAAAUACAACGGCGGAUUUGUAGUAUCCUCUGAGCGUAGUAAUUUUUUUCUCGCUUUUGUUAGGUGCUAUAACUCCCAGCCGCUAAACCCCCAAUUUUUUGUGGUUGACCUCGGAUCAGGUAGGAAUACCCGCUGAACUUAAGCAUAUCAAUAAGCGGAGGAAAAGAAACCAACAGGGAUUGCCUUAGUAACGGCGAGUGAAGCGGCAACAGCUCAAAUUUGAAAUCUGGCCCUUGGGUCCGAAUUGUAAUUUGUAGAGGAUGAUUUUGGUGCGGUAUCUUCCGAGUUCCUUGGAACAGGACGCCUUAGAGGGUGAGAGCCCCGUACGGUUGAAUGCCUAGCCUCUGUAAAUCUCCUUCGACGAGUCGAGUAGUUUGGGAAUGCUGCUCUAAAUGGGAGGUAAAUUUCUUCUAAAGCUAAAUAUUGGCCAGAGACCGAUAGCGCACAAGUAGAGUGAUCGAAAGAUGAAAAGCACUUUGAAAAGAGGGUUAAAUAGCACGUGAAAUUGUUGAAAGGGAAGGAUUUGUGACCAGACUUUUUCUGGGCGGAUCAUCCGGGGUUCUCUCCGGUGCACUUCGCCCAGUAAAGGCCAGCAUCGGUUUUCGGCGUGGGAUAAAAGCGGUAGGAAUGUGGCUCUCUACGGGGAGUGUUAUAGCCUAUUGUAUAAUACCGCGCUGGGGACCGAGGUUCGCGC